GCCUUCGUGGUGUAGUGAUCAGCACGCUCGACGCGUAUUCAUCAGGUCCGUGGUUCGAGUCCCGGCGAGGGCA
rnacentral:tRNA from 1 species